GAUGAACGCUGGCGGCGUGCCUAAUACAUGCAAGUCGAGCGAACGGACGAGAAGCUUGCUUCUCUGAUGUUAGCGGCGGACGGGUGAGUAACACGUGGAUAACCUACCUAUAAGACUGGGAUAACUUCGGGAAACCGGAGCUAAUACCGGAUAAUAUUUUGAACCGCAUGGUUCAAAAGUGAAAGACGGUCUUGUUGUCACUUAUAGAUGGAUCCGCGCUGCAUUAGCUAGUUGGUAAGGUAACGGCUUACCAAGGCAACGAUGCAUAGCCGACCUGAGAGGGUGAUCGGCCACACUGGAACUGAGACACGGUCCAGCCUCCUACGGGAGGCAGCAGUAGGGAAUCUUCCGCAAUGGGCGAAAGCCUGACGGAGCAACGCCGCGUGAGUGAUGAAGGUCUUCGGAUCGUAAAACUCUGUUAUUAGGGAAGAACAUAUGUGUAAGUAACUGUGCACAUCUUGACGGUACCUAAUCAGAAAGCCACGGCUAACUACGUG
rnacentral:rRNA from 1 species